GGUUACACAGAAGACAAGAAUAUCAUCAGAAAGGGAAGAGCGUAUGUGCUAAUAACAGUAAAACGAAAACUCCAUGCUAGAAGAUAAGGGGGUGAAGGAUAGAAGUAUAUUACAGAACUGAGAGAAAGAGAGAGAUCUGUUUAGUUAUCUCUAUGUGAUUAAUUAUUAAUUAUCCAGAGAUUUGUGUAUCAAUAAGAGGGAGUGCAGGCAAUACAAGCCAGCAAAAGAAUAGCAGAGGAAGCACCAUCGUCUUCAAGAUUGGAGCUGCUCCUCUUGAACUUGCAGACCUUGGCUUUAUUGCAUUGUAUCUGUUUCUGGAGAUAUUGGUGAUGAUAGUUGUAAUGCUCCUUGCCGCCCUUUUGCUGCUCUUGCUGUGGCUGCUGCCUCUUCUUCAUGGCUAUGUCUCCUCUGAUCUAAUAAUUAGUCUCCUUUAGAGAGAAAAGGAAAAAAAAGGAAACUCUCUUUGAGUAGUGAUGACUCGGGAGAGCUAAAGGG
rnacentral:misc_RNA from 1 species